CAUCGAACGCAUGGACGGUCAAAUCAACGCCUGGAAGUCUUUAGGUCACGUCGUCGACGCGCGAUUAUUACACGUCAGCGAACUCGAACUCGUGGAAAUCCGCGUCCUC
rnacentral:ribozyme from 1 species